rnacentral:lncRNA from 1 species
UUACCUUGCCCCAUAGCCUUGCCCCACUGCAGUGCCCCAUAGCCGUGCCCCAUAGCAGUGCCCCAUAGCCUUGCCCCAUAGCAGUGUCCCAUAACUUUGCCCCCAGCAGCACCCCAUAGCCGUGCCCCAUGGCCAUGCCCCGUGGCCGUGCCCCAUAGCCGUGCCCCAUAGCCGUGCCCCAUAGCCUUGCCCCCAGCAGCACCCCCUAGCCGUGGCCCAUAGCCUUGCCCCCAGCAGCGCCCCCAGCCGCACCCCAUAGCCGUGCCCCACAGCAGUGCCCCAUAGCCUUGCCCCAUAGCCGUGCCCCAUAGCCUUGCCCCCAGCAGCACCCCACAGCAUUCCCCCCCAGCAGCACCCCAUAGCCUUGCUCCAUAGCCGUGCCCCACAGCAGCACUCCAUAACCGUGCCCCAUAGCCGUGCCCCAUAGCCGUGCCCCAUAGCCGUGCCCCAUAGCCAUGCUCCUUAGCCGUGCUCCUUAGCCGUGCCCCUUAGCAGUGCACCGUAACCUUGCCCCAUAGCAGUGCCCCAUAGCCUUGCCCCAUAGCCUUGCCCCAUGGACUUGCCCCAUAGACUUGUCCCACAGCAGUGCCCCAUAACCUUGCCCCCAGCAGCGCCCCAUAGCCGUGCCCCAUAGCUGUGCCCCAUAGCCGUGCCCCACAGCCGUGCCCCAGCAGCGCCGCUGUCCCCGCAGCGCACGCGUAAGCGCCGUAACCGCAAGAAGAAGAAGCGGGCGCGGGCGGCGCGGGACGGGGGGGCAGCGCCGGGGGCAGCGGCCGACGGGGACCGGGACCGGGAGCGGGAGCAGGAGCGGGCCGGAACCGGAACCGGAACCGGAACCGGAACCGGGACCGGAACCACCCCCCCCGUGGAGAUCGAGUACGUGACCGAGGAGCCCGAGAUCUACGACCCCAACUUCGUCUUCUUCAAGAGGAUCUUCGAGGCGUUCA